CCAGUUCUGAGUUAGGGGCCUCCAUAUUUUUUCUGCCACAUCUCUUAUUCACUCUGUUACAACUGUGUGCAUAGUUUCCGUGGCAUGUUCUUGUCCUAAUGCCCUCCAGCGAGCUGUAAGCACUGUGAGGACAAGAGAGCUUCACCCUUUUGAUCACUUUUGCACCCAGGCACAAUGCCUGGCAUGCCGCAGAUGCUCAGUAAAUACUUAGCUAAUGUGCUCCUUGGAAAAUGAUUCUCUGGAAUCAUUAGAGCCCUUUAAUUUGUGGAGACCAGAAGUAAGCCUCCCUGACCUUCUUUGUCCAUACAUUAGUGGGCCUUAAUUAUAGGAUGGAGUUCCUGGAUUUUUAGGUUUAUUUCAUCAAUUCCUUUGCUCAACUGCAAAUUUAUGCUUGAGCGUUCUGGGCUGACCAUUGUCAUUAACUCUCAACACAUGGUCAUCAACAUAUUUUUAAAGGGACAAAAAGGGAGCCUGGAUCCAGCAAGUCCCAGAUCCUAUCUCGGGGCUCCUAGAAGGAGCCAGCCCAGUGAGUAUAGCAUGGAACCUCGAAGAUGCAGCCCUGCGUAGAAGCAGUUAAUACGAGUGCCUGCAGAGGGGGAAAAUCGCUGACCAAGUCAGGACUAUUUAGUCUACAGGGAACACUGAGAAGCAAUCUGAUAGCGAUGCUUCAAACUACCUGCAGCCUGGGGCCAUCGCAAACAGUGCAGCUGGACGGUCUGUUUGAGGAUACACUGUGCCACACUCCUAAUAUGCCAGAAGGAAGGACAGAAAUCAUCUUGAUGGCUCCCAGCAUUCAACCCCAUCCACUCGACCCAGUGACGUACUGCAUUUCCAAC
ensembl:lincRNA